UCUGAGUUCUGGCCCUGAAGGUUCUUAAGAAUCAACGCACUUCAUAGUUAUCAGCCACGCAGGAUAGGGGUACAGAAUGCAACGGAAUGCUUUGAAGCUACUGCCAUGUACAAAUGCUGGAAACAGUACGUCAAUUAAGUGAUACGAGCGAUUGCUCAUUCUACAUUACGGCAGCAAAGUCAGCCUCUUUCUUUUAUGUACCUGAAGUUUGUUAUAUUUGUAUUAUCGUACUAAUAAUUUAGUAAACGAGUGGUUGAACUGCAUCAGUUUGUGUUUAUUGAUGAAAGCGCAAAUUAGACAAGGCCGCUACCGAACAGAGGGCGUGUUCUGGAGCCGUUCAGUAUAACAGAUACACUGUGCUUAGAGAUAAUGCCGUCUCGAAAUCUUAUUCACUUUUCUGUUCAUGCCAUUACAAUGUUGUCUUUUACAUUUCGUAAUGAUGUUUUAGAAGUACUAAUAUUGCCUCAAAUGCAGCUAAAAAACUAGGUAAACUUAAAAGGAGAACGUGGUCACACUUUCGGGAAUUCAAACAAGUACUGCUUACCCUAAAUAAUUGGUAUUUUGUUACAACAGGUUUUGAACAGGGGUCGAGAAAGAGUAUUUUGUGUACGAGGAACACUUUCUGUGUAACCUCGGAGAAUAAGAGCAGCAAUGCGCACUUCGACUAUAGCGCAACGAACUGCCAUAUAGCACGAUAUUUGCUUUUUAUGCUCUGGACGAACGAUAAUAAAAGCCUCGCCUCGCACUAUAUAAAGAGAGCAAGCGCUCGCCAAGACUAAAUAAAAUGAAUCAGGUGUCGGAAAAAGAUAAUUCGUUAUUAGGAGCAAGGCAGUAUCAACAACGGCGAUACCACCACCAGGCAGCAGGCUUGAUCUGUAUAAUUGGUUGACUAUUGAAUAAAAACAGUUCAGUUAUUGCUGUGUUAAGAAUUUUUUUGCUUACAUUUGAUUUCUUACACUACAUUGCUUGUUUCCUCGCUCUGCUCUUCUCGAUAUGGUCCUUUAUUUUUUGGCAGCCUGCUGUCAUAGUUUUGGUACACUGUUGCCGUUAUUCCUUCUGGAAUAAUUAAGAGGUAUUCAUUGUUGCCCCCCCCCCCCUUCCUGAUCCUUCCACUUUCAAAUAAUCUUGAUUGUACGUGCAGAUCUUGUGGUAUUGUUGUAUGAAAUGUUGUGUGGUUCCUUUUUCUGUAUAGAAUGGAGAUCCACAUAGUUUAUAACUUCGACACUUACAUUCCCUCUGUAUUUGUAUUGCUGACAAGUAUGGCGUGAUGGGCAUGUUGGUUCACCUUGAAUAGCAGUAGUUGAGCGCUU